rnacentral:antisense_RNA from 1 species
CGGCCGCGCCGCCCCGCCCGUCGGCCUCGCUCCCGCCACAGAGCCCGCAGCACGCCGCCGCCGCAGCCUAGGUCACAGAUCUGUGAAAAUCUUUAAAGGCGUGUGUUUUGCCAUAUAUGCAAGUGAAUCAACUUGCCAGAUAAAAGUUUGCUGCAUAAAUAUGAUUACUAGGAAAGCCAAGUCUCUCUUCCUGGAUUUCUUCUCCUAUAAACUGCCUAUUGAUACCUACCCACUUCUCUAUGGAGCACAGGUGAAGGAUAUUGGUCAUCUCCAGCACCUAGUACAAUGUCUGCAAUGGAACAGGCGAGCUGUGAAGAUUUGUGGAAUGCAUGGGUGGACUAAAGACCUAUCACCUCAGUCUAGAAUGCCCAGCAUGUUGGAGCAUGUUAAGCACUAUAUGAGCUGCUGAGGAUACAGGAACAAACAACAACACAGGUGUGUCCUCUGCCCAAACCAGGCAUAAAUGAGCUUCCAGAUGAAUACAAACAAAUCUGGAAGGCUUUUGAGGAAGAAGGACCAUUAAAAAAGCUGCUGAUGACUGCCUGGAAUCUGGUUUGGAGCAUCUC